rnacentral:rRNA from 1 species
UCCCCGUCAAUUCAUUGAGUUUCAACCUUGCGGUCGUACUCCCCAGGCGGAGAACUUAACGCGUUAACUGCGACACUGAGCGAUUAGAUCGCCCAACGUCUAGUUCUCAUCGUUUACGGCGUGGACUACCAGGGUAUCUAAUCCUGUUUGCUACCCACGCUUUCGAGCCUGAGCGUCAAUAUUGGCCCAGAAGACUGCCUUCGCCAUUGGUGUUCCUCCACAUAUCUACGCAUUUCACCGCUACACGUGGAAUUCCGUCUUCCUCUACCAUAUUCUAGCCCUGCAGUUUCGAAUGCAAUUCCCAGGUUGAGCCCGGGGCUUUCACAUCCGACACACAGAGCCGCCUGCGCUCGCUUUACGCCCAGUAAUUCCGAUUAACGCUUGCACCCUCCGUAUUACCGCGGCUGCUGGCACGGAGUUUGCCGGUGCUUAUUCUGCAGGUACCGUCAAUACGCUCGGGUUAUUAGCCCGGCGCUUUUCUUUCCUGCUUAAAGUGCUUUACAACCCUAGGGCCUUCUUCACACACGCGGCAUGGCUGGAUCAGGCUUCCGCCCAUUGUCCAAUAUUCCCCACUGCUGCCUCCCGUAGGAGUCCGGGCCGUGUCUCAGUCCCGGUGUGGCUGAUCAUCCUCUCAAACCAGCUACUGAUCGUCGCCUUGGUAGGCCGUUACCCCACCAACAAACUAAUCAGACGCAGGCUCAUCCUUUCGUGCGAGGGUCGAAGAGCCCCGCUUUGCUCCGUAGAGGUUAUGCAGUAUUAGCCCGAGUUUCCCCGGGUUAUCCUCCGCGAAAGGGUAGAUUCCUACGCGUUACUCACCCGUCCGCCGCUCGACGCCUGGAGGCGAACCUCCAUCGUUUCCGCUCGACUUGCAUGUGUUAGGCCUGCCGCCAGCGUUCAAUCUGAGCCAUGAUCAAACUCU